rnacentral:rRNA from 1 species
UCACUUAUAGAUGGGCCCGCGGCGCAUUAGCUAGUUGGUGAGGUAACGGCUCACCAAGGCCACGAUGCGUAGCCGACCUGAGAGGGUGAUCGGCCACACUGGGACUGAGACACGGCCCAG